CGGUGGCUCUGCGUCUCCUAGCUCUGAUCUCCAGGCUACCCCUGUGAUUCCGCGCAGAGGUACCUCUCGGAGGACGCCGGGGUCCCAUGGGCGGCGCCGCGCAGGGCGCUAGGACCCCGCGGGGAGCGGAGGCGGCCUCGGCCCGGGAGCCUGGAGGACCUGGCCGGUCGAUCCGCCCGGGCUGGAAAACUUUCUUUAUAAUUACUUCUCCAGGUCGGAGCGCGCGGCUUGCUAGGCGCGCGGGGCCGGCGCUGUUACCCGGCGUGGAGUCGCCGAUUUUUUUUCCUGCGGGACCGCGGGGCCCCCCAGACUAGCGGAGCUGGACGCCGGGGCGAGCACGGGGAGGGGCGCACCGAGGGAGGAGACAAACUUAACUCUGGGGCCGGGAUUCCGAGGCGGGGGCCGCAGCCCUCGAGGCCCGAAGCCACCGCUUCCUCCCCCGCCUCCCCAUUCAGGUGGGCGCCAACGGCGGGAGCGAGGGUGUCCAGGCCGCCGGGCUGCCAGGUCCGAGCACGCACAGGGAGAACUCUGCCCAGUGGUUCGCCGGGCGCUGUAGUCCCCGGGAUCCUAGGGACCGAGGCGGCCAGGCCCUGGGGCCCCUUGAGUGCGGCAGCUAAUGCUCUCACCGCGGCGGGGGAAGGAGCUUGCCACCGAGACCCCCAGCCACGUGCGUCCCUCGCAUUCUUUACCGGGGCCGGGGUGGCGGCUACGGACCGUCAGCUGGGCCCAGAUGGAGUCUUGGGAGCCCUCAAGUGUCUCCUGUCCUUGCCCGCGCCGCCCCUCGCCACUGGCGCUGAGGCCUGACGCCGCCUGCGUCCCGGCUAGAGGCGCGCUUGCCUACAGGUGAGGGAAGACCCCCUUCACCGACAGUGGCCUUAGGCCUGGCAAGGCGCCACGACCCGCCCAGGAGCCCCGGAGGGGGCACAGCUAAAAACACCGCUGGAGAGCCCCGAGCUUCCACGACGAUCGCAGUAAAGAAGCAGUUUCAUCUGGGCAACGCACACUGCGCUUUAAUCAAGUUCCUAUUCAACAUAGUCCCAGUGAUUAAUAGCCCAACUGCUUCGUUUUCGGUCCAGAGCUCAUAAACAAGAUAUUUUUAGCUUGACGCUUUUGGACGGGAGGGAGUAAAAACCAGAUACGUUAAAUAAAUAUCCCGAUGUGAGCCGGAGAGCUGCUUGCUGAGCCAAAUGCAGGACCCAUUCAUAUAGCAUUCACCUGUGGAGGGAGACCUGGACGGAAAUCAAAAAGCACCAAGAGCGAUUUGCGUUUUUUUCUGCGGUGCUAAAACUAAUGGCUUUUCCUACCUAGGAACAAAGAAACGCCACUGUACAUGCACGGUUCCCGGCCUGUGGAGUUGUGGGAGGAAGGCGAUGUCUGGCCUUUUUUGCACAGCUGCUGUUGCCUGCCCAGAGAUCGGGAACUCUGCCCCGUAGGACUGGAAGAAACCUCAGUAAUGGGAAUAAGACUUUGUCCAAUAGGGGGCUGAUGAAUGUGUGGGGGCGACAAUGGCAAGGAGUGGGACUCCCGGCCCGGGGUUCGCCAACCCCAGGGGCCACAGGUCCUCCUACAAUUGAACCAGAAUUCACCCACCCGGGCCUGCCCUGUGCAGGGUGCCGAGAGCCCAGGGAUGCAUGAGAGGGUGGCUCCUGCCUCUGGGAACUGGGACAGUGGGAGAGACGGA
rnacentral:lncRNA from 1 species